GACGAACGCUGGCGGCGUGCUUAACACAUGCAAGUCGAACGGAAAGGCCCUGCUUUUGUGGGGUGCUCGAGUGGCGAACGGGUGAGUAACCCGUGAGUAACCUGCCCUUGACUUUGGGAUAACUUCAGGCAACUGGGGCUAAUACCGGAUAGGAGCUCCUGCUGCAUGGUGGGGGUUGGAAAGUUUCGGCGGUUGGGGAUGGACUCGCGGCUUAUCAGCUUGUUGGUGGGGUAGUGGCUUACCAAGGCUUUGACGGGUAGCCGGCCUGAGAGGGGGACCGGGCACAUGGGUACUGAGAGACGGCGCAGAGGCCAACGGUGGACAGUGGGGGGAAGUAUUGCACAGUGGGGGGAAGCGUGAGACGAAGGCCCCGGGAGUGGAAAGAAGUCUUUGGGGUGAUAAACCGCUGUCGCCUGUGACGAAGCUGGUUUGACGUUAAUGGGUAAAGAAGCACCGGCUAACUACGUG
rnacentral:rRNA from 1 species